rnacentral:misc_RNA from 1 species
UCGGUCUGAUGCUGCCCGGCAACGGGAUGUGCUCGUCUGGAUGCGUGUCCCUUCUCUAUUCCACCCCUUUGUGAACCAAGUGUGCGAGCCGAAGAGAGUCGGAGGCUCGCAUGCAAACCCUUAACAUACCCCAAGAAGUACAGAAUGUACCUUGCGUUAACUCGCACAAAUACAACUUUCAACAACGGAUCUCUUGGCUCUCGCACGAGAAGAACGCAGCGAAAUGCGAUAAGUAAUGUGAAUGCAGAAUCAGUGAAUCAUCGAAUCUUUGAACGCACCUUGCGCCCCUUGGCAUUCCGAGGGGCACGCCUGUUUGAGUGUCGUGAAUUCCUCCACCCUCUACCUUUUUCGGAAGGCAUUGGGCUGGGAUUUGGGAGCUUGCGGGUCCCUGGCCGAUCCGCUCUCCUUGAAUACAUUAGCGAAGCCCUUGCGGCCUUGGUGUGAUAGUCAUCUACGCCUUGGCUUAGCGAACAUACGGGAAUCGCUUCCAACCGUCUCGCAAGAGACAAUCACUACCAAC